AAACUUCUACACUACUCAGCAACCAAGAGUGAGCCCUAAUAUACUCUGUAGACUUUCAGGGAUAUUGAUGUGUCAAUGCAUUCCUGCCAUCAUGCCAUUCUCCAUGGUAGAACACAGCCAACAGGAACCUAACACAGGUCAGAUCAAUGGACUACCAAGUCAGAUUUUCAACCUCCAAAACUGAGUCCUAAAUACCAGUUUCAAAGGGAUUUGCUGGACUGAUCAUAUUUCUGAACCAACUACAAAUUUGAAGUUUCCCAGGAUGUCUCCAGAACACCAAUAAUUUGCUAUAAUGACUCACAGAAUUCAGUUCCUCAAACAGAAGAUCAUGAGAAACAUAUUUUUCCCAUGAGUGUUGCUGAAGACAAGGCUGAGGAAGAAGUUCAUUGGAAAUAUAAAUGAGAACUCCAGAAAAUAGUCUUAUAUUAAUUCCUACCAGAUGUGAAAUCUUAGGCAGAGCGAAGUCACAGAGUUUCCAGGGCUUCACACAAGAAUGACUAUCCUACAGUGUGAAAUACAGAAUUGAAAAUGUCAACAUUUUUCCUCAUAAAUCUGUUGAA